UAUCGUUUUAUUUUUUUGGAAGGAGUUUUAAGUUCAAGCAACUAAUUGAGUAAAAUAAAACUAUUUUCUAGUAAUUUUUCAUAAGCAAAGAGGAAACAAAUAUGGCUCAAUUUAUCAAGUUUGUUAGUGUUAUCAUUCUCUUAAUAUCCCUAUUUUUUGUCGUAGUCAACGGUGGAUUUGCACGUUACUGCACUAAUGAUAGUGAGUGUGAGUCUUACUGUUUCGAUCCAAUAUAUGCGAUGUGCUUGAUCAAUAAAUGUAUAUGCGACUAUACAUAAGUUAAGAGUUAAGUUGGAAGUGAUAGCCUUUUCUUUGCAAUUACUUUGGGAUAGGGUUUCUACUCACCAAAAUUUGUUUAGGAAAAAGCCUUUUUUUAAUAUUUUAGUGGAACUUCAUGUGUCUUUUUUUUUUUUUUUUAGUUUCUGUUGGAGUGAGGUGUCAUCUGGAAUUUGUUUUUCAGGAUCCACGGCAAGAAAAAUGGAUUUUGAAAAGAAAACAUGUCAUUGAGAAAUAUACAUUUUUUAUUAAAAAAAAAAAGCGUCGUUACAUGUCGCCAAUAUAAGUGUUGUUAGGAAAUGUUAGAACCACAGUUUUAUUAUAACUAGGAUUGACAUUUAUUGUUUGUCAUGUAUUGCUUUCCUAGCCGUUUGUAAAUGUAAUUAUAAAAAUAAGAGUGUUCUACUAUUUUUUAAAAGGUGCUAA